rnacentral:sRNA from 1 species
UGCAAAUACAGCAAGAAUUGAAAUAGGUC